UUCUUACAGACACAUCCUAAUCUUAUCUCUAACACUAUCCUAAACAAUCUCCAGUUCCGAAGUCAGAUUUCCUCAUCUCACAACACACUCUUGAGCUCUUUAAUUUAGCCAAGAUGAGGAUGUGUCUGUAAGGUCUUCAUGACCUUUAACAUCCGAUGAGGCUGGAUUUUUGAAACCCUAGCUGAGAUGCGCAAAUCCUAGGUGGUCUUUUACUUCGCCAAUCUUCGUUUUCACUCGAAGAUCUUGGUUUUGAGUGCCCGAUCUUCGUUUGUUACUCGAAGAUCUUUGUUUAUAGUGGCUGGUCUUCGUUUUCUCUCGUCUAUCUUCGUUUUUAGUGGCCGAUCUUCAUUUUUACUCGAAGAUUUGGGUUUUGAUUAGUCGAUCUUCGUUUUCACUGGUAAUUUGAAGGCUCUAACGUUGAGUGAUGAUCUAGAUUUUGCUUACUACCCUCUUUCACGCCAUUGGCUCUCAGAUAAGUAAACUACCCAGUUUUUUUUAUUUAUUUAGAUUGGCAUUUUAAUCUAUUAUUAUAUCCUAUCGUAUACUAUAUAUUCUUGAAUCUGAUUUUCAUUCUUAUUUAUACAUUUAGCAUAUCUGUAUGCCUCCGUACAGUGUUCAUCACUGUAGAUAGACAUUCAAGGCAGGUUUCGUGCAAUCUUCUCUAAGAUAAGUGAAAUACAAAAAAAAAAAAAAAAAAAAAAAAAAAAAAAAAAAAAUCUCUAAAUUCGUAUUUUAGCAUAGUCUACAAAUUUGUAUCUCUUUUUGGCUAUUACAUUAUUUUUUUUCCGAAGGGAGUAGUUAGGGUUUAAACUAAAUUCACUAAUCUUAACUUUCAGGGGUGCAUUGUUCAUAUUUCUUUCUAUAAGAGAAAGAUGGGAAGCUUAGCAUGCAUCAAUAAUGGUAAAUAGCCUUCCGAUUUGUGGUAGGAAUAGCUAUAGAUUUGUGCAGCAGAACAGAAUGUGUGCAGUGAAGUAAAAGCAUCGCAAGUUGUACAAAUCAGAUCACCUGAUUGUUCAUAAAGCUUUCCGUUACAUCCUGGUGACAUGCAAGAGAUGUACAUCCAUCCAAAAGAACCUUCAAUGGCCACAAUUUCAGCAGAUCACCUACCGUAGUUACAGUCAAAGCACCACUGGUGAAGUCAUCAAUUCCUGUUGAUUGAGACAGCACUAUUGCAAUAUUGAUACUGCGUAAAGGGCUGUUUGAAGCAGUUAACCUACAGGUGAUACGAACUGCAGAUAUGGUGAAGUUGGGAGGGGAUUUCUCCAUCGACAGAGGCUUAUAUAGAAUGUAAAACUAUGGAUUUCAAAAUCUUGAAUGUUAUCUUGGAAGUAUGAAUGGUGCUGUCGACCUUUCAGUUUCCAAGACCAUGUUGAGCAGACAUUUAAAUCAGUUUGAGAAAUAUGUUUUCGAAGCAGUGCACGACAAUAUGAACACUGUGUUUAGAAGUCUGUAAUUAUUAGAAGUCUAUUUAAAUUGAUUUAUUUUGCUUGGUAUUACCAAAAAGUAGCCGGCACAAUUAAAUUCCACGAGUAAAGCUUUG